GCCCUGCGCUUCCCCGCCGGGUUCUAGAGCACCCCUAAUCUCCAUAGCCCCAUUCCUGGGCGGACUAGCCCCGCCCCACCCAAGCCCCGCCCACCGGUUCCCGGCUGAGCGUCUCAAUCCUGGGGACCUGCCGACCCAUCUUCGCCCAAAGGGACCCCGCCCGGUGCAGGUCCGCUCCAGGGCGUCCCCCGCCCUGUCACCCGUCACCUCAGGGAACCAGCCCCCUACACGGAGGCAGAAACAGAAAGAUGGAGUGACAAAAAGCUUCUUGCUCUCCUUUGUAAUUAUCCCUAUUUUUCCGGCGAGUAAACUGAGUCUUAGAGGAAGAAGUGUCCAAUGUCAUGAGACCAGUGAAUAAAGGGCUGGUACUGGAACCCCAUCCUCUCUCCCUCCUCGGUUCAGGGCGCCGCACUGGAGCCUGGAGACAGCGCGCGCUACCGUGUUGUCACUCAAAGGCCGGGGCAGCCGGAGGGAAGAGCGUGUCCCCUCUCUGGGGUCACAAGCCCCAAGUUCACUGAAGGAGGCUGCGUUCGGCUUGUUAUCGGUGAUUCCUUCCCUCCAAACCUGGAGCACCUUCCUGAGCAUUACCUCAUUUUGCCUCAUUCUAACUAAGGCCGGGUUAGGAGGGACUUACAGCAAAGUCGGUGACUGAGCCUGGAGUCAGAGCUUCAAAUGCUCAAUGGUCGCUGCCCCUCACACCUGCUGCCAAUAUAGAAUGAAAAUGGGGUGGUGAUUGGAUUGUGCACUCCAAGCUGUGACACUCUAAAGAGGAAGAUCCGUAGGAGGAGGAGAAAGAGUGAACACGGAUGGGGAAGCGUGGAGUGGGAGUGGUUACUUAGCUCAGGCGAAACACUUCAGUCGCACCCUUCAGAAUACACAGGGCUUCAGAAUAGCCUUCAGAAUGAAUGUAGGGUUCUGGCGAUAGGCAUCUACCCCUAACAUUGUUUUUCCAAACAAUGAGACUGCGUGCGCACUUCCAAAAACAAACCAACCAAAAAACCUGGAGUAAGCGCCAGAGUGGUUGGAAGUGAUGGGGUUAACCCGGGAGAGCUUCGCGGAGGAG